rnacentral:lncRNA from 1 species
UUUUUUUUUGUCACAAGAGUGUCUUCUUUAUUAUAACAUAGCCAAAGAUACCAGUACAUUAGUGAUUCUUCCACUUAGUCCAAAGCACAAAACAAACAUCCACAAUCAAAUAGGAUGCUCCAAAGCGACAAAGCCGACGAGUUCAUAGAACCCUCGGAGCCAAAAGCCCCAAAACAGGGAGACAAUUGAGGAAGAAACUCCUAAACCAACAGACACAAAGGGUUAAAGUCUUAAGCUCCUAAGAACUAACACUGAAAACUCUGAAUCAAAGGCAACCGACGAACACUUCCAUAGGAAAAGGAGACGCCAGAGCUGAGCUACAAACUGGAGCCCUUGAAAAGAACCAAUCAUUAGAAUGCCCCUAGAAAAGACUGAAGGCCCGAGAAAGGAACUAAACUGAACCCACACAACCACAACACCGGCAGAAAUGAAGACGGAGAAUCAACUAAAACAGAGCACAGAACCUAAUCCAACACUACCACUCCAAAGAACCAAUGCAUCGAGGAGGCAGCAGAACAAAGAGCAACAAUUAAAACCGAGAGAUGGAACGCCAAAGAGGAUCUCCACUUCUUACACACGGACAUUCGUAUGCCCCACCCAAGCCACCUACAGAGAAAGGAUAGGUUACCGCCACGCAAGAGAAGAGAUGGAGAAAGAAUCCACUGCAUCGUCUUGAACCCGUAGAUGCCUCUGCAACAAAUUGCCAACUUAAAGACGAAUCCAUCAAUCAAACCUAAGCCAACGCAAGGCACCAAAAACUCGAGAGGAUAGAACAGAGAGGAAGAACUAGUAAUCAGAUCCAAUAACCCACUAGCCAACAAGAGGACCACACCUGACUACACCAAUGAUAUAGAACCAGAGAUUGAAAGCCACAAAAUCCGGACCAAACGUCUAAGACGUACUACCGAACCUCAGAGAAAGGGCCAACAAAACAUCUAAUUCUCAUAUGAAGACCAAGCCAAAGAUUGAAUCCAUCCUAAAAUACCCACGACUAAACAACUAAACAUCUAAAACUAAACCAACUGAGAGCAAGCGAUGAGGAGCUUCAGCCAAGACGAAACAAAGAAGACGAACCGGACCCGAGAAUGGUACCUCAUGAGUCACACCAAACA